rnacentral:rRNA from 1 species
UGGGAAUUUUGGACAAUGGGCGAAAGCCUGAUCCAGCAAUGCCGCGUGUGUGAAGAAGGCCUUCGGGUUGUAAAGCACUUUUGUCCGGAAAGAAAUCCUUGGCUCUAAUACAGUCGGGGGAUGACGGUACCGGAAGAAUAAGCACCGGCUAACUACGUGCCAGCAGCCGCGGUAAUACGUAGGGUGCAAGCGUUAAUCGGAAUUACUGGGCGUAAAGCGUGCGCAGGCGGUCCGCUAAGACAGAUGUGAAAUCCCCGGGCUUAACCUGGGAACUGCAUUUGUGACUGGCGGGCUAGAGUAUGGCAGAGGGGGGUAGAAUUCCACGUGUAGCAGUGAAAUGCGUAGAGAUGUGGAGGAAUACCGAUGGCGAAGGCAGCCCCCCUGGGGCCAAUACUGACGCUCAUGCACGAAAGGCGUGGGGGAGCAAACAGGAUUAGAUACCCUGGUAGUCCACGCCCUAAACGAUGU